AUUGAAAUGCCGGUUCCUGUGUGAUCAACAAAGUUAAGCAACACUGAGCCUGAUCACUACCUAGAUGGGUAACUGCUUGGGAAUACCAGGUGCUGUAAG